rnacentral:rRNA from 1 species
ACGCUGGCGGCAUGCCUUACACAUGCAAGUCGAACGGCAGCACGGAGCUUGCUCUGGUGGCGAGUGGCGAACGGGUGAGUAAUAUAUCGGAACGUACCCUGGAGUGGGGGAUAACGUAGCGAAAGUUACGCUAAUACCGCAUACGAUCUAUGGAUGAAAGUGGGGGAUGCGCAAGCACCUCAUGCUCGUGGAGCGGCCGAUAUCUGAUUAGCUAGUUGGUAGGGUAAAAGCCUACCAAGGCAUCGAUCAGUAGCUGGUCUGAGAGGACGACCAGCCACACUGGAACUGAGACACGGUCCAGGCUCCUACGGGAGGCAGCAGUGGGGAAUUUUGGACAAUGGGCGCAAGCCUGAUCCAGCAAUGCCGCGUGAGUGAAGAAGGCCUUCGGGUUGUAAAGCUCUUUUGUCAGGGAAGAAACGGUGGAGGCUAAUAUCCUCUGCUAAUGACGGUACCUGAAGAAUAAGCACCGGCUAACUACGUGCCAGCAGCCGCGGUAAUACGUAGGGUGCAAGCGUUAAUCGGAAUUACUGGGCGUAAAGCGUGCGCAGGCGGUUUUGUAAGUCUGAUGUGAAAUCCCCGGGCUCAACCUGGGAAUUGCAUUGGAGACUGCAAGGCUAGAAUCUGGCAGAGGGGGGUAGAAUUCCACGUGUAGCAGUGAAAUGCGUAGAUAUGUGGAGGAACACCGAUGGCGAAGGCAGCCCCCUGGGUCAAGAUUGACGCUCAUGCACGAAAGCGGGGGGAGCAAAC